rnacentral:lncRNA from 1 species
CAUCCCAACAGAUUAAUACCAUACUACAAAUGCUAUCAAGUAUCACAUUAAUGUUAUUCUUAAUUAUAGUAUGAAUAGUAAGACAUUGAGCCUUAUUACUGCUUUGACUACUCUAGGGGGCUGGCAAACUCAUUGAAUGAGUUCAAGCUCCCAAAAUCCAUUAUGCACAAGCACAACAUUCUAAAAGGAAAUUUAGGUUGAGGGG